AAUUAAAAUAUUGUUUUAAUGCAUAUUUCAUCCUUCGCUAACAUAUGAUGAAGGUCAAAGAGGUUUGAAACUUUUUUUGUCUAUGUUUUUCUAGAGAAUAGUGAUUUUAUUGUGGUUAGUCCACCAAUUUAUGGAGUAUUAUGAAGUUUUACUAAAUUAAUUGACAAAAAAUUAAAACGAUGCGCAUGUACCAUGAAAGAGAGUUUAAUAUACAUUAAUACCUCUAGUAUAGGAUGAUGGUCAAAGAAGAUUUUGAACCUUUGUUGUUUUCGUUUCUCUAGAUAAUAAGGAUUUUACAGUGGUUAUCCACUGAUUUAUGCACCAAUUUAUUGAGUAUUAUGAAGUUUUACUAAAUUAAUUGACAAAAAAUUAAAACGAUGCUCAUGUACCAUGAAAGAGAGUUUAAUAUACAUUAAUACCUCUAGUAUAGGAUGAUGGUCAAAGAAGAUUUUGAACCUUUGUUGUUUUCGUUUCUCUAGAUAAUAAGGAUUUUACAGUGGUUAUCCACUGAUUUAUGCAUUAUAUGAAACUCAAGUUUUAUUAAAUUAAUUGUUAAUUUUAGAAUGAUGCACAUGUAUUAUAAAAGAGAGUUUAGCAUAUAUUAAUACAAAUGUAGAACGGGAUUAGAAAAUUUUAAUCAAAACUAAAGAAUAUAAGAUUCAAUAUAUAAAACAUUUAACGAAGAACUCAAUAUUUUCAUAGGGGGGCGUUAGCCUACAGAUUUUCAGAAAAAUUUAAAAAUAUAAAAAAAUUGUUUUAAUGCAUAGUUGCAUCGCGCACUGACUUAAGAUGAUGGUCAAAGAGAUUUGGAACUUUUGUUGUCUCUGUUUCUCUAGAAAAUAGAGAUUUCAAGUUUUAACGAUUUAGAGUGUAUAUGAAAUUUUAUUAGAUUAAUUGUUAAAAAUUUUCCAUUUACCAUGAAAAAAAGUUUGGCCUACAUUAACAGAAAAUGUGGGUAUAAAUAUUUAAAUGACACUAAAGAAUUUAAACUUCAGUAUCUAGAGCAUUUAUUGAAAAACUUAAUAUUCUUAUAAGGGAUUAACCAUAGAAGAUAAAAAAAAAUGACAAUCUUUUUUUAAUGCAUAGUUGCAUCUUGCACUAAUAUAGAAUGAUGGUCAAAGAAGAUUUGAACCUUUGUUGUGUUCGUUUCUAUAGUGGUUAUCCACUAAUUUAUGCUGAAAUUUUAUUAAAUUAUACUUUGUUUCAAGAGUGUAACAUUUAAGAAAAUCAAAGGUUGACAUAUAUUUGUUUGUUACCAAAAAUGUAAAUUAAAAUUAUUUUUAAUAAUAGGUAUAACUAAAUUACUUAUCUUUUUAAAGUCAAUUUAAAUUAUUUUAAGUAAAAUUAAAAUCCGCCCGACCGAGCGGAUCCAUAUCUUGUUAAAUGAUUUAAGUGGCCAAAAUCACAUGUUUGUAAUGUUUUGUAUUUGAUAUUUAUUUAUAUUUUAAUUAUGUAUUGUGUUUACUAAAGCUGACCAAAAAAUUACUAAUUUAAAUUUUAAAUUUAUAUAUUAAAAUAUAUUUAACCAUGUUUGACCCGGCCGAACCAUUUUGAACCGUGAUUCAAAUGAUUAUCCGAUUCAGCUUUCGUUUUGUUUUUAAAGACAUUGAUUUUGACUAAAGUCCUGUUUUUCUCUUGGGCUUAAAACGACAUCCUACUGUCAGAUGACACCUGACGAUGUGUAUCUUUCCUUCCUACCGUUGGCUCAUAUUCUUGACCGUGCUAACGAGGAAUACUUCUUUCGAAAUGGCGCUCGUCGGCUAUUACCAUGGAGUAUGUUAAUCUCUUAAGCUUCAUAAAUCAUAACCAUAAUCAUCAUCAACUUAUGUAGGGGAUAGAAAAUUAUGAAAAUUGAUUAUGCUGAUGUGUUUUGGUGUGUUAGGAUUUGAAUGCAUUACACGAUGAUAUUCAAGAACUGAAACCAACUUUUAUAGCCGGAGUUCCAAGAGUCUUCGAGAGGAUCUAUGAAGGGAUUCAGAAGGCUCUUCAGGAGCUUAACCCAAGAAGGAGACUCAUCCUCUAUGCUCUUUAUAAAUAGUAAGCUUCACUUACAAAUAGGAGACAUAGGUGAGAUUCUUCCAAACGGAGUACUCAGGAUCAUCGACCGUAAGAAGAAUCUGAUCAAACUCUCACAAGGAGAAUAUGUUGCUCUUGAGCAUUUGGAAAGCAUCUACGGACAAAACGCGAUUGUCCAAGAUGUGAGUUUUCCAACUCUUUCUUGGUCUGCAAGUAUCUUUUAGGAUUUUCUUCAAUUAAUUUUUUUGAUCGAUAAAUUCUCAUCAGAUAUGGGUUUAUGAACAAACCUUGUUCUUCUCUGCCGUGAUUGUUCCAAAUCCAGAAACCGUGAACCGGUGGGCUAAUGACUUCGGCUUUACUAAACCAUUCGAAGAACUCUGUUCUAUCUCGGAGCUACAAGAACACAUCCUCUUAGAACUGAAGUCCACGGCAGAGAAGAACAAGGUUUGUUUGACGAUGUUGUCUAAAACCAUAAUUCUUCUAGAGAUUUCUCUAAAUAAUACUACUAUUAUAUAAUGUUAUUUUGUGGAUGUGAAAAAAAUGAUACUAAUAGCUAAGCAAGUUUGAGUACAUUAAAGCGGUGACGGUGGAGGCAAAACCUUUCGACAUUGAGAGAGGCUUCGUGACCGCGACGCUCAAGAACCAGAGGAAAAAUCUUCUCAAGUUCUACAGGUAGAAAUCGAAGAAAUGUACCGUAUAUUGGCGUCAAAGAGGAGCUGAAACUGUUGCGAUAUGUGGGCAACUAAUAAAUAAUUACGCAUAUAACAAAAAAAAACGAACAUUAUAUAUGCUUUCUAUAAUAAUUUAUUUUAUGUUGUAUAUACAUACAACAUAAUUGUUAGUUUUUUAAUGUAAUAAUAAAUUUUAUGACUCUAGCUAUUUACUGUCGUGGAUACUUUACCUGUUCUGAUACAAGUUUACGUGAAUAAAAAUCAUUAUAAGAAGAAUUAAAAUGGAUUGGACCACUUAUAAGAGCCAUAACAAGAAGGCUCGAUGAUCAAUAAAACUUGCGCUCGAUUCAAAAAGACAAAACCCACUGUCCGGAUUGGUACAUCUUGAGUUUACUUUACUAUAUCGAAUCCCAAUAUUCAUGUUACGAAUCUUUUUUUUUUGCUAAGUAUUCGUGUUACGAAUCUUACAGAUGAGCAAAUGUUGUAAGUUGUAGCUUCCUUGAACCAAUGGGUCUCUUUAAGUUUGUCUUUUAGUCGUUCACUUUUAAGCCAUCAAGAGUUUAAGUACUUUUGCUUUCGGUUGCAGUCGUGGCCUUGUUUCGGACAAUGAUUGUGUACCUUCGGUUUGGGAUUAUCACUCACCGUAAAGGUCAAUACAGACACGCUAAAGCCAAUGGCAUUGCUAUGCACUCACUAGACAAAAAGACAAAAAGUAGUAUUACCUCAUAAGAUUGUUUUCUUUUCUUGCUUCCUUCGUCUUUUCUAUUGAACAUUUUCUCUCUUUCUCACACACACACAUGGCUGCAAAAGUAACAAACAGACGAAGAAGAAAAAGUUGAAUUUGCAUGGUAACUUGUUUCUCUGCUUUUCACCUUUUGUAUAUUUCUUUGUGGGAUUUGGUUUUCUACCUUUUUCCAACAAGUCUACGCACUUAGGGGACAACACAAACUUCGAUUUUAUUGACUAAUUGCUAUGUUUCAAGUAUUGGAUCCACGGUUCAACGUGGGUUUACGUUUUUCUUCUCAAUAUAUUUUACAAGGACAAAAAAUUAGGUUCUUUAAAUUAUUUAUUUUGUAUAAGUAUCCUCUGAAAUAUAAACACAUGAAAAAAAAAACAAUGAAUUAUUCACAGGUACAUGUACAUUUUAGAAGAAAAAAGGAUAAAACAAAACAUCAAUCAAAUCGUAAUAGUAGAUUGUCACACAGAUUUUGAAAGCCUUGAAGUAAGAAUGAAAUUCUAAGCUAGGAACAACUCCAACCAUUACAUCCAGUUCAGUGUUUUGGUAUUGAAUUAAUUUUCAUCUCUAACCACAAUACUAAAUUCUACACCAAAAUUAGUAUAUAUUAGUAGUAUUUCAAUUUUAACAUUUUGAUAUAUUAAUUAUUUAUAAUUGACCAAUGAUAUUUUAUAGCAUUUAAAUUUUAUGUUUAUUUAUUAAAAUUUGAUAACUUUAUAUUAUUAUUAUUUUAUUUUACCUAGUUUAUAUAUUAAUUUAUUUAUUUUAUGUAAAAUAUUUUUUAAAAUUAUAAUAUUUUAUAUUUAAAAAUGUAACUUACAUAAUAAAUGCUUAACAGUUUGGAAAUUAUAAUUAAAAUAUAAAAUAGCAUGAUAUAUUUAUUUUAAAAUAAUUAAAACUAUAAUAAUAAAAAUUAUACAUAUAAAUAAAAUAAUAAAGUUGUCAAAAAAAAUAAUAAUAAAAUAUAUCAUUUUAGUAUUUGAUAUGAUGAAUAUUAUUACACCAAAUUUGGUGAGAUAAUGUCAUUUUAAUAUUUUCAGAGAUAAAAUUAUAUCAAAUUUGGUAUUUUGAUGUUUCAUUGAAAUUGGUAUCUAAGCAUGUUUAAAUUAACUAGAAGAGAAUUAUCGAGUACUCUUAAUCACAUUUCAUUUCUUUGAUGGUUGUGAAAACACCAGUGAAGAGUGUAAUUUCUCUUUUAUAUUCGUUUUGGAUAUAAAAAUGUUAAAAGGGUAGUAAAUGAAAAUAGCAAACGACAUAACACGGUGCACACGUCUUUUUCUUCACCGUGGUGCAAUCAUGAAACAGCAAGACCAACAAAAGCGGUAAAUAAAACAAAAACAAAAUAAAAAAUUCCGAACGUCGAUCAAACACACAGAAAUUAGUAGGUAGAAGUAGUUGAGUUUAUGUUUCCAACUUCGCAUUAAUUUAAGUUCAAAAAAAAAAAAAAAAAACUUCGCAUUAAUUUCCUCUUUAGUUAUCUUGCUUAAGUGAAAGUUAAUUAUGCAGAUUCCAAGACAAAAAAAGAUGAAGCGAGACAAUGAAUAAAAAUCCUAACAACAUUAAUUGACGCUGUCUUUGAGUAGUGUUAGAG